GAAAAGAAGACUUUCACAAGGCCAUUUCAAGUUCGUUCCUUGUUAUAUCUGUCCACACAAAAGAAAUAGCAAACAAGUACUUUUUCUUUAAGAGAUCCGCACUUUUGAGAGAAACGAAAAAGAAUCGACCUUGAAAGCAAAAAGAAGGAAGGAAGGAGAAAGAAGAAAAGAGAAAGGAGGAAGAAGAAAAGGGCUUGGAGGAGGCUCGGUUUUGGGAAAGAUUAGAGAAAAAUCGAAAAGUUUUCUCUUGCAUGUCAUUGUUGAAGCUUUAAGAAGGCAUGGGAGGUUCGGCCUAAUGAUUCCAGGCUAAGGAAACAAGAAUCUUCAAGGAUUCAAGAACCGGAUGCAUGCAUGUAAGUGGAUCCUAUAAUGCAUGGUGAUUUUGAGCUAGAUAAGUAAUGGCAAUGGUGAUCGAAGAUGUGAGGAAAUUGUGAACUGUAUGUGGAAUUCAAGCUAAAACUGAAAGGUGAG